GUAGAUUAGGUUGUUGGUGGGGUAAUGGCCUACCAAGCCUGGGAUCUAUAGGGGCUUUGAGAGAGGUAGCCUCGAGAAGGGCACUGAGAUACUGGCCCUAACCCUACGGGGUGCAGCAGGCGCGAAACCUUUACAAUGCACGAAAGUGUGAUAAGGGAAUCCUAAGUGCUUAAGUAAUGCAUAGGCUUUUGCCAAGACUAAAUCUCUUGGCGAAUAAGUGGUGGGAAAGACUGGUGCCAGCCGCCGCGGUAACACCAGCGCCACGAGUGGUGGCCACGUUUAUUGGGCCUAAAGCGUCCGUAGCCGGAUUAACAAAUCUCUUGUGAAAUUGUUAAGCUUAACUUAACAGCGUGCAGGAGACACUGUUAAUCUUGGAACCGGGAGGAGUAGAAGUAUUCCUUGGGGAGCGGUAAAAUGCUAUAAUCCUUGGAAGACUACCUGUGGCGAAGGCGUCUAACUAGAACGGAUUCGACGGUGAGGGACGAAAGCCAGGGGAGCGAACCGGAUUAGAUACCCGAGUAGUCCUGGCCGUAAACGCUGUGAGCUAGGUGUUGCAUAUUCUAAAUGAAUAUGCAGUGUCGAAACGAAGGUGUUAAGCUCACCGCCUGGGAAGUACAGUCGCAAGACCGAAACUUAAAGGAAUUGGCGGGGGAGCACCACAAGGGGUGCGGCGUGCGGUUUAAUCUAACUCAACGCAGAAAAUCUCACCAUGGGCGACGGCAGGAUGAAAGUCAGGCUAAAGGUCUUACUUGACAAGCCGAGAGGUGGUGCAUGGCCGCCGUCAGCUCGUGCCGUAAGGUGUCCUGUUAAGUCAGGUAACGAGCGAGACCUGUACCUACAAUUGCUAACGACCAAUUUAUUGGGAUCGAGCACUAUGUGGGGACUGCCUUGGAAACAAGGAGGAAGGCGCAGGCAACGGUAGGUCUGUAUGCCCCGAAUCUCAUGGGCUACACGCGCGCAACAAUGGUUGGGACAAUGGGAUACAACUCCGAAAGGAGAAGUUAAACCUCUAAACCCAAUCUUAGUUCAGAUUGAGGGUUGUAACUCACCCUCAUGACGAUGGAAUCCCUAGUAAUCGGAUUUCACCACAGUCCGGUGAAUAUGUCCCUGCUCCUUGCACACACCGCCCGUCAAACCACUCGAGUAGGGUUUAGAUGAGGAUUAGAUUUUUAUUUAAUACGAAUCUAAGCUCAGCGAGAUGGGUUAAGUCGUCACAAGGUA
rnacentral:rRNA from 1 species